rnacentral:rRNA from 1 species
GAGUUUGAUCUUGGCUCAGGACGAACGCUGGCGGCGCGCCUAACACAUGCAAGUCGAACGAGAACCUCGGGCUUCGGCCUGGGGGGAGAGUGGCGAACGGGUGAGUAACACGUGAGGAACCUGCCCCGGAGACCGGGAUAACUCGAGGAAACUCGGGCUAAUACCGGAUGUCCUCAUCGGACCGCAUGAUCUGAUGAGGAAAUGGAUUCCGCUCCGGGAUGGCCUCGCGGCCUAUCAGCUUGUUGGUGAGGUAACGGCUCACCAAGGCAACGACGGGUAGCUGGUCUGAGAGGACGAUCAGCCACACUGGGACUGAGACACGGCCCAGACUCCUACGGGAGGCAGCAGUGGGGAAUCUUGCGCAAUGGGGGAAACCCUGACGCAGCGACGCCGCGUGCGGGACGAAGGCCUUCGGGUUGUAA